rnacentral:rRNA from 1 species
GACAGAGGAUGCAAGCGUUAUCCGGAAUGAUUGGGCGUAAAGCGUCUGUAGGUGGUUUAAAAGUCUAUUGUUAAAAAUUGAAGCUUAACUUCAAAGAUGCAAUGGAAACUUUUAAACUUGAGUAUGGUAGGGUAGAGGGAAUUUCCAGUGGAGCGGUGAAAUGCGUAGAUAUUGGAAAGACCACCAAUGGCGAAGGCACUCUACUGGGCCAUUACUGACACUGAGAGACGAAAGCUAGGGGAGCAAAUGGA